GACGAACGCUGGCGGCGUGCCUAAUACAUGCAAGUCGAACGCAGUGGGGACGGGUGAGUAACACGUGGGUAACCUCCCAUCAGAGGGGAUAACACUUGGAAACAGGUGCUAAAACCGAUACGGAUUGAUGGACCCGCGGGUCAUUAGCGAGUUGGGGGGGUAACGGCUCACCAGGGCCACGAUGCAUAGCCGGCCUGCGAGGGUGAUCGGCCACACUGGGACGGAGACACGGCCCAGACUCCUACGGGAGGCAGCAGUCGGGAAUCUUCGGCAAUGGGCGAAAGUCUGACCGAGCAACGCCGCGUGAGUGAAGAAGGUUUUCGGAUCGUAAAACUCUGUUAUUAGAGAAGCGGUAUCUAACCAGAAAGCCACGGCUAACUACGUGCCAGCCGCCGCGGUAAUUC
rnacentral:rRNA from 1 species